GUAACGAGCGCAACCCUUGUCCUUAGUUACCAGCACGUUAGUGGUGGGCACUCUAAGGAGACUGCCGGUGACAAACCGGAGGAAGGUGGGGAUGACGUCAAGUCAUCACUGGCCCUUACGGGCCUGGGCUACACACGUGCUACAAUGGUUGGGUACAAAGGGUUGCCAAGCCGCGAGGUGGAGCUAAUCCCAUAAAACCGAUCGUAGUCCGGAUCGCAGUCUGCAACUCGACUGCGUGAAGUCGGAAUCGCUAGUAAUCGUGAAUCAGAAUGUCACGGUGAAUACGUUCCCGGGCCUU
rnacentral:rRNA from 1 species